UACGAAGGGGGCUAGCGUUGCUCGGAAUCACUGGGCGUAAAGGGCGCGUAGGCGGUCAUUCAAGUCGGAGGUGAAAGCCCAGGGCUCAACCCUGGAAUUGCCUUCGAUACUGUCUGGCUAGAGACCGGAAGAGGUAAGUGGAACUGCGAGUGUAGAGGUGAAAUUCGUAGAUAUUCGCAAGAACACCAGUGGCGAAGGCGGCUUACUGGUCCGGUUCUGACGCUGAGGCGCGAAAGCGUGGGGAGCAAACAGG
rnacentral:rRNA from 1 species